GAGACCUCAGGUCAGGCAGGGCUAC
rnacentral:rRNA from 1 species